GGAUUAGAUACCCUGGUAGUCCACGCCGUAAACGAUGGAUACUAGCUGUUGGGGGCAACUUCAGUGGCUAAGCGAAAGUGAUAAGUAUCCCACCUGGGGAGUACGUUCGCAAGAAUGAAACUCAAAGGAAUUGACGGGGGCCCGCACAAGCGGUGGAGCAUGUGGUUUAAUUCGAUGAUACGCGAGGAACCUUACCAAGGCUUAAAUGUAGAUUGACAGAUUUGGAAACAGAUUUUUCUUCGGACAAUUUACAAGGUGCUGCAUGGUUGUCGUCAGCUCGUGCUG
rnacentral:rRNA from 1 species